rnacentral:rRNA from 1 species
AUUGAACGCUGGCGGCAUGCCUUACACAUGCAAGUCGAACGGUAACAGGUCUUCGGAUGCUGACGAGUGGCGAACGGGUGAGUAAUACAUCGGAACGUGCCCGAUCGUGGGGGAUAACGCGGCGAAAGCUUUGCUAAUACCGCAUACGAUCUACGGAUGAAAGCGGGGGAUCUUCGGACCUCGCGCGGACGGAGCGGCCGAUGGCAGAUUAGGUAGUUGGUGGGAUAAAAGCUUACCAAGCCGACGAUCUGUAGCUGGUCUGAGAGGAUGAUCAGCCACACUGGGACUGAGACACGGCCCAGACUCCUACGGGAGGCAGCAGUGGGGAAUUUUGGACAAUGGGCGAAAGCCUGAUCCAGCCAUGCCGCGUGCAGGAUGAAGGCCUUCGGGUUGUAAACUGCUUUUGUACGGAACGAAAAGCCUCUUUCUAAUAAAGAGGGGUCAUGACGGUACCGUAAGAAUAAGCACCGGCUAACUACGUG